rnacentral:piRNA from 1 species
UGGAAGACAUUAUACUGACCACUGAAG